AGCGAACGCUGGCGGUAGGCUUAACACAUGCAAGUCGAGCGGGCCUUUCGGGGUCAGCGGCGGACGGGUGAGUAACGCGUGAGAACGUGCCCUCUGGUUCGGAAUAACUCAGGGAAACUUGAGCUAAUUCCGGAUACGCCCUUUUGGGGAAAGGCUUGCUGCCGGAGGAUCGGCCCGCGUCUGAUUAGCUAGUUGGUGAGGUAACGGCUCACCAAGGCGACGAUCAGUAGCUGGUCUGAGAGGAUGAUCAGCCACACUGGGACUGAGACACGGCCCAGACUCCUACGGGAGGCAGCAGUGGGGAAUAUUGGACAAUGGGCGCAAGCCUGAUCCAGCCAUGCCGCGUGAGUGAUGAAGGCCUUAGGGUUGUAAAGCUCUUUUAUCCGGGACGAUAAUGACGGUACCGGAGGAAUAAGCCCCGGCUAACUUCGUG
rnacentral:rRNA from 1 species